CUUGCAGGGUACUCGAGUGGCGAACGGGUGAGUAACACGUGGGUGAUCUGCCCUGCACUUCGGGAUAAGCCUGGGAAACUGGGUCUAAUACCGGAUAGGAGCCAUUUUUAGUGUGAUGGUUGGAAAGUUUUUCGGUGUAGGUUGAGCUCGCGGCCUAUCAGCUUGUUGGUGGGGUAAUGGCCUACCAAGGCGGCGACGGGUAGCCGGCCUGAGAGGGUGGACGGCCACAUUGGGACUGAGAUACGGCCCAG
rnacentral:rRNA from 1 species